CAAGUCGAACGGUAACAGGAAGCAGCUUGCUGCUUCGCUGACGAGUGGCGGACGGGUGAGUAAUGUCUGGGAAACUGCCUGAUGGAGGGGGAUAACUACUGGAAACGGUAGCUAAUACCGCAUAACGUCGCAAGACCAAAGAGGGGGACCUUCGGGCCUCUUGCCAUCGGAUGUGCCCAGAUGGGAUUAGCUAGUAGGUGGGGUAACGGCUCACCUAGGCGACGAUCCCUAGCUGGUCUGAGAGGAUGACCAGCCACACUGGAACUGAGACACGGUCCAGACUCCUACGGGAGGCAGCAGUGGGGAAUAUUGCACAAUGGGCGCAAGCCUGAUGCAGCCAUGCCGCGUGUAUGAAGAAGGCCUUCGGGUUGUAAAGUACUUUCAGCGGGGAGGAAGGCGAUAAGGUUAAUAACCUUGUCGAUUGACGUUACCCGCAAAAGAAGCACCGGCUAACUCCGUGCCAGCAGCCGCGGUAAUACGGAGGGUGCAAGCGUUAAUCGGAAUUACUGGGCGUAAAGCGCACGCAGGCGGUCUGUCAAGUCGGAUGUGAAAUCCCCGGGCUCAACCUGGGAACUGCAUUCGAAACUGGCAGGCUAGAGUCUUGUAGAGGGGGGUAGAAUUCCAGGUGUAGCGGUGAAAUGCGUAGAGAUCUGGAGGAAUACCGGUGGCGAAGGCGGCCCCCUGGACAAAGACUGACGCUCAGGUGCGAAAGCGUGGGGGAGCAAACAGGAUUAGAUACCCUGGUAGUCCACGCCGUAAACGAUGUCGACUUGGAGGUUGUGCCCUUGAGGCGUGGCUUCCGGAGCUAACGCGUUAAGUCGACCGCCUGGGGGAGUACGGCCGCAAGGUUAAAAACUCA
rnacentral:rRNA from 1 species